CACACAUGUAGUGAUUGACAAGGUUGUCUGC
rnacentral:piRNA from 1 species